rnacentral:rRNA from 1 species
GACGAACGCUGGCGGCGUGCUUAACACAUGCAAGUCGAACGGAAAGGCCCUGCUUUUGUGGGGUGCUCGAGUGGCGAACGGGUGAGUAACACGUGAGUAACCUGCCCUUGACUUUGGGAUAACUUCAGGAAACUGGGGCUAAUACCGGAUAGGAGCUCCUGCUGCAUGGUGGGGGUUGGAAAGUUUCGGCGGUUGGGGAUGGACUCGCGGCUUAUCAGCUUGUUGGUGGGGUAGUGGCUUACCAAGGCUUUGACGGGUAGCCGGCCGGAGAGGGUGACCGGCCACAUUGGGACUGGGAUACGGCCCAGACCCCUCCGGGAGGCAGCAGUGGGGAAUAUUGCACAAUGGGCGGAAGCCUGAUGCAGCAACGCCGCGGGGGGGGUGAGGGCCUUGGGGUUGUAAACCGCUUUCGCCUGGGACGAAGCGGGGGUGGCGGUAAUGGGUAAAGAAGCAGCGGCUAACCACGU